rnacentral:rRNA from 1 species
AAGUCUGACCGAGCAACGCCGCGUGAGUGAAGAAGGUUUUCGGAUCGUAAAACUCUGUUGUUAGAGAAGAACAAGGAUGAGAGUAACUGUUCAUCCCUUGACGGUAUCUAACCAGAAAGCCACGGCUAACUACGUGCCAGCAGCCGCGGUAAUACGUAGGUGGCAAGCGUUGUCCGGAUUUAUUGGGCGUAAAGCGAGCGCAGGCGGUUUCUUAAGUCUGAUGUGAAAGCCCCCGGCUCAACCGGGGAGGGUCAUUGGAAACUGGGAGACUUGAGUGCAGAAGAGGAGAGUGGAAUUCCAUGUGUAGCGGUGAAAUGCGUAGAUAUAUGGAGGAACACCAGUGGCGAAGGCGGCUCUCUGGUCUGUAACUGACGCUGAGGCUCGAAAGCGUGGGGAGCAAACAGGAUUAGAUACCCUGGUAGUCCACGCCGUAAACGAUGAGUGCUAAGUGUUGGAGGGUUUCCGCCCUUCAGUGCUGCC